rnacentral:rRNA from 1 species
UAUUUUUUUUUUUGGAGGCGGGGGGGCGCCUACCAUGCAGUCGAGCGGAUGAAGGGAGCUUGCUCCUGGAUUCAGCGGCGGACGGGUGAGUAAUGCCUAGGAAUCUGCCUGGUAGUGGGGGAUAACGUCCGGAAACGGGCGCUAAUACCGCAUACGUCCUGAGGGAGAAAGUGGGGGAUCUUCGGACCUCACGCUAUCAGAUGAGCCUAGGUCGGAUUAGCUAGUUGGUGGGGUAAAGGCCUACCAAGGCGACGAUCCGUAACUGGUCUGAGAGGAUGAUCAGUCACACUGGAACUGAGACACGGUCCAGACUCCUACGGGAGGCAGCAGUGGGGAAUAUUGGACAAUGGGCGAAAGCCUGAUCCAGCCAUGCCGCGUGUGUGAAGAAGGUCUUCGGAUUGUAAAGCACUUUAAGUUGGGAGGAAGGGCAGUAAGUUAAUACCUUGCUGUUUUGACGUUACCAACAGAAUAAGCACCGGCUAACUUCGUGCCAGCAGCCGCGGUAAUACGAAGGGUGCAAGCGUUAAUCGGAAUUACUGGGCGUAAAGCGCGCGUAGGUGGUUCAGCAAGUUGGAUGUGAAAUCCCCGGGCUCAACCUGGGAACUGCAUCCAAAACUACUGAGCUAGAGUACGGUAGAGGGUGGUGGAAUUUCCUGUGUAGCGGUGAAAUGCGUAGAUAUAGGAAGGAACACCAGUGGCGAAGGCGACCACCUGGACUGAUACUGACACUGAGGUGCGAAAGCGUGGGGAGCAAACAGGAUUAGAUACCCUGGUAGUCCACGCCGUAAAACGAUGUCGACUAGCCGUUGGGAUCCUUGAGAUCUUAGUGGCGCAGCUAACGCGAUAGUCGACCGCCUGGGGAGUACGGCCGCAGGUUAAAACUCAAAUGAAUUGACGGGGCCCGCACAAGCCGUUCAGCAUGUGGUUUCUCGAAAGCAACCGCCGAGAAAACCCUUAACCCUGUGGCGCCCCUG